rnacentral:rRNA from 1 species
AUUGAACGCUGGCGGCAUGCUUUACACAUGCAAGUCGAACGGUAACAGGCCUUCGGGCGCUGACGAGUGGCGAACGGGUGAGUAAUGCAUCGGAACGUGCCCAGUCGUGGGGGAUAACGCAGCGAAAGCUGUGCUAAUACCGCAUACGAUCUGUGGAUGAAAGCGGGGGACCUUCGGGCCUCGAGCGAUUGGAGCGGCCGAUGGCAGAUUAGGUAGUUGGUGGGGUAAAGGCUCACCAAGCCAACGAUCUGUAGCUGGUCUGAGAGGACGACCAGCCACACUGGGACUGAGACACGGCCCAGACUCCUACGGGAGGCAGCAGUGGGGAAUUUUGGACAAUGGGCGCAAGCCUGAUCCAGCAAUGCCGCGUGCAGGAAGAAGGCCUUCGGGUUGUAAACUGCUUUUGUACGGAACGAAACGGUCCUGGUUAAUACCUGGGGCUAAUGACGGUACCGUAAGAAUAAGCACCGGCUAACUACGUGCCAGCCGCCGCCGUAACAC